rnacentral:rRNA from 1 species
GACGUACGCUGGCGGCGUGCUUAACACAUGCAAGUCGUACGGUAAGGCCCUUUCGGUGGUACACGAGUGGCGAACGGGUGAGUAACACGUGAGUAACCUGCCCACAACUUUGGGAUAACGCUAGGAAACUGGUGCUAAUACUGGAUAUGUGCUCCUGCUGCAUGGUGGGGGUUGGAAAGCUCCGGCGGUUGUGGAUGGACUGGCUGGCUAUCAGCUUGUUGGUGGGGUAGUGGCCUACCAAGGCGGCGACGGGUAGCCGGCCUGAGAGGGUGACCGGCCACAUUGGGACUGAGAUACGGCCCAGACUCCUACGGGAGGCAGAAGGGGGGAAUAUUGACCAAUGGGCGCAAGCCUGAUGAAGCAACGCCGCGUGCGGGAUGACGGCCUUAGGGUUGUAAACCGCUUUUAGCAGGGACGAAGCUUUUUGUGACGGUACCUGAAGAAGAAGCACCGGCUAACUACGUG